GCUCAAUUAGAUUUAGUGGUUGAUCAAAUUGAAUCAAGAGUUGGUUAGGUAGGAUCAUGAAAGCUAAUAAUUGACCAGUCUAAUAGGAUUAAGUCUGGAUCAAGGUCGAAUCACAUUUAAAUAUGACUCGAUCAAGUUAAGACCUAAUUUGGCUCAGAGGUUAGAGUCUGAAUUAUAGGCUAACCCAAUUGGUUCUGGUUUGAUAAUUUGGUGACUAAGGUAAGUUGGGC
rnacentral:lncRNA from 1 species